rnacentral:rRNA from 1 species
UACGUAGGGAGCUAGCGUUGUCCGGAAUCAUUGGGCGUAAAGCGCGCGUAGGCGGCCCGGUAAGUCCGCUGUGAAAGUCAAAGGCUCAACCUUUGAAUGUCAGCGGAUACUGCCGGGCUAGAGUCCGGAAGAGGCGAGUGGAACUCCUGGUGUAGCGGUGGAAUGCGCAGACAUCAGGAAGAACACCAACGGCGAAGGCAGCUCGCUGGGACGGAACUGACGCUAAGGCGCGAAAGCGUGGGGAGCGAACAGG